AUCCUUCAGUGUUCACCUUCUCUGUUUCACUGUGCAUGACCAGACUUGGUCUCUUGUGCAGCAAGAUAUUACAAUACCAUGUAUUGGAAAGUGGAGUGAGUCACUUUCAUACAUAUGUUUAGAUAGGCACACUUAUAUACAUACAUUAACUAGUCAAGCGUUCAAAUUAUUCCGAGAUUGAUGAUACAAUGCUGUUCUGUGUUGCUAGUAAAUAAUUCCAUGAUCUGUUGAUUCUAUGGGGAGGACAAGCAACUUUGGUAAGUUGAUUACGGAAUGAUGUCUUCG
rnacentral:rRNA from 1 species